UACGUAGGGGCCGAGCGUUGUCCGGAGUUAUUGGGCGUAAAGCGCGCGCAGGCGGCUUCGCGCGCCCGACGUGAAAGCCCCCGGCUUAACCGGGGAGAGUCGUUGGGGACGGCGGAGCUUGAGGGCGGGAGAGGUCGGUGGAAUUCCCGGUGUAGUGGUGAAAUGCGUAGAGAUCGGGAGGAACACCUGUGGCGAAGGGCGGCCGACUGGGGCCG
rnacentral:rRNA from 1 species